CGACCAUCUAACCAUUGGACUUCCAGGUGUUGGAAAUUGAUCAAAAUCGGGUGAAUUUAGGUGGUCUGAUUGAGGUUUGGCACUUUGUACCGUAGCUGCCGACUUGACCACUUCAGGGACAGCACUUGCUAGUUUCCCUGGUUGUUGUUGUUGUUGGGUUGGUUCUGCUGUGGUUGUUGUUGGUUGGAAUUUUGUUGUUGAUUUGGCUGUUGUUGCUGGCCACGAUUGUACUGGGGCCACUGGUUUCCCCACUGGUUCUGCCACGACAUACCAGCAUGGUAAAACUGUGGCGGAUACAUCGGAUGGAGCAGGGAUCAGACCUGAAGUUACCACUGUAACCACCGGAAUAAUUCCCACGGCCACUGAAGCUGCCACGGCCCCUUCCACGGCCCCUACCCCUGCCACGGCCUCUUCCACGACCACGGCCAUCAGUUUGAGGGGUGUCAGAGCCACUGGACCCAGAGGACGUCGAGGGUUUGUCGUCAGCAAAAACCAUCUGAGCUUUAACUGUUGGUUUCUUGCGCUUAAGGUGGUUCAUCAGCACCAGGCAAGAUGGUACGGCCUUGGACCGCACUGUCAAGGGCUGCCAUGAGUGAAGGAAAACGCUGGUACGCCAACGAAGAGCGAACUGACUCACUCUUGAGGCCUUGCACAAAGGCUUGCACCUUGAGCUGAGUCAAGUCUUCCUCAGGCAUGUGUGGAUACGCCAAGAUAGC